GCUGGCGGCGUGCCUAAUACAUGCAAGUAGAACGCUGAAGAGAGGAGCUUGCUCUUCUUGGAUGAGUUGCGAACGGGUGAGUAACGCGUAGGUAACCUGCCUUGUAGCGGGGGAUAACUAUUGGAAACGAUAGCUAAUACCGCACAACAAUGGAUGACACAUGUCAUUUAUUUGAAAGGGGCAAAUGCUCCACUACAAGAUGGACCUGCGUUGUAUUAGCUAGUAGGUGAGGUAACGGCUCACCUGGGCGACGAUACAUAGCCGACCUGAGAGGGUGAUCGGCCACACUGGGACUGAGACACGGCCCAGACUCCUACGGGAGGCAGCAGUAGGGAAUCUUCGGCAAUGGGGGCAACCCUGACCGAGCAACGCCGCGUGAGUGAAGAAGGUUUUCGGAUCGUAAAGCUCUGUUGUAAGUCAAGAACGAGUGUGAGAGUGGAAAGUUCACACUGUGACGGUAGCUUACCAGAAAGGGACGGCUAACUACGUGCCAGCAGCCGCGGUAAUACGUAGGUCCCGAGCGUUGUCCGGAUUUAUUGGGCGUAAAGCGAGCGCAGGCGGUUUGAUAAGUCUGAAGUUAAAGGCUGUGGCUCAACCAUAGUUCGCUUUGGAAACUGUCAAACUUGAGUGCAGAAGGGGAGAGUGGAAUUCCAUGUGUAGCGGUGAAAUGCGUAGAUAUAUGGAGGAACACCGGUGGCGAAAGCGGCUCUCUGGUCUGUAACUGACGCUGAGGCUCGAAAGCGUGGGGAGCGAACAGGAUUAGAUACCCUGGUAGUCCACGCCGUAAACGAUGAGUGCUAGGUGUUGGAUCCUUUCCGGGAUUCAGUGCCGCAGCUAACGCAUUAAGCACUCCGCCUGGGGAGUACGACCGCAAGGUUGAAACUCAAAGGAAUUGACGGGGGCCCGCACAAGCGGUGGAGCAUGUGGUUUAAUUCGAAGCAACGCGAAGAACCUUACCAGGUCUUGACAUCCCGAUGCUAUUUCUAGAGAUAGAAAGUUACUUCGGUACAUCGGUGACAGGUGGUGCAUGGUUGUCGUCAGCUCGUGUCGUGAGAUGUUGGGUUAAGUCCCGCAACGAGCGCAACCCCUAUUGUUAGUUGCCAUCAUUCAGUUGGGCACUCUAGCGAGACUGCCGGUAAUAAACCGGAGGAAGGUGGGGAUGACGUCAAAUCAUCAUGCCCCUUAUGACCUGGGCUACACACGUGCUACAAUGGUUGGUACAACGAGUUGCGAGUCGGUGACGGCAAGCUAAUCUCUUAAAGCCAAUCUCAGUUCGGAUUGUAGGCUGCAACUCGCCUACAUGAAGUCGGAAUCGCUAGUAAUCGCGGAUCAGCACGCCGCGGUGAAUACGUUCCCGGGCCUUGUACACACCGCCCGUCACACCACGAGAGUUUGUAACACCCGAAGUCGGUGAGGUAACCUUUUGGAGCCAGCCGCCUAAGGUGGGAUAGAUGAUUGGGGU
rnacentral:rRNA from 1 species